AAAGUCGUAACAAGGUUUCCGUAGGUGAACCUGCGGAAGGAUCAUUAUUGAAUAAAUUUUGUUGGGUUGUUGCUGGCCUCUAGGGGCACUGUGCACACUCAACUCAAUUUUAUUACCACCUGUGCAUCUUUUGUAGACUUGGAUAUCACUCGAGACUUCUCGGACAUGAGGAUUGCAUUAUUAGCUUUCCUUUCACUUCCAGUCUAUGUUUUUCAUAUACACUUGUAACAAGUUAAAUGUUGAUCAAUGAUAAAUAUAAUACAACUUUCAACAACGGAUCUCUUGGCUCUC
rnacentral:misc_RNA from 1 species